rnacentral:rRNA from 1 species
UCCGAAGUUUCUCUCAGGAUAGCGGCCCGACGCGAUGUUGUCAUGUGCGGUAAAGCGAAUGAUUAGCGCAUUUGGGGGAAAUAUUCCUUCGGGCGAUUCUCAAACUUUAAAUGCGCAUGAUGGUAUUGCUGCUUUAUUGAGCAAUGCGUUUACAGAAACGUUGGGUCCGUGGGCCACUUUUGGUAAGCAGAACUGGCGAUACGGGAUGAACCGUAAACAUGGUUAAGGCGCCAAAUUGCACGCUUAUAGAACCCAAAAAAGGUGUUGAUUCAUCGAGACAGCAGGACGGUGGCCAUGGAAGUCGGAAUCCGCUAAGGAGUGUGUAACAACUCACCUGCCGAAUGAAUUAGCCCUGAAAAUGGAUGGCGCUUAAGCGGGCAGCCGACACCAUGUCGUCUGAACAAAGUGGUCUUUUCAGAUGAGUAGGAGGGCGUGGCGGUUGUAUCGAAGCACAUGUGCAAACGUGUGUGGAACGGCCGCUAGUGCAGAUCUUGGUGGUAGUAGCAAAUAUUCAAGCGAGAUCCUUGAAGGGCGACGCGGGGAAGGGUUCCACGCGAACAUUGAUUGAGCGUGGGUGAGUCGUUCCUAAGCCGAGUGGUUAUUGCUAAUUACUGGCGAAAGGGAAACGGGUUGACAUUCCCGUACACGGAUGUGGAGGCGGUGACGCACGUCUGGGGCGAUGACGUUGGCGGUGGCGCUGGGCAGAGUUGUCUUUUCUGUUUAACCAAUGCGUAUCGUACUGUGUGGAAUCCGCUUGUCGGGAGAAACACGUGCGGUCGGGCAUAGCACCGGGGUUUUUCCGGUGUCCAGCUCGCCACCGACAACCCUUGAAAAAUCGUCUGCUGGGCAAAACCAAUUUAUUGGCUUUGUUGGAAAAAUCCACGCCGUAACGURCCGAUAACCGCAUCAGGUCCCCAAGGUGAACAGCCUCUGCUCAAUAUGAUUAAUGCAGGUAAGGGAAGUCGGCAAAUUGGACCCGUAACUUUGGGAAAARGGUUGGCUCUAGUGCUGCGUGGGAGUGGUUGUUCUGUUCUGCGACUGUUCGCUCGCCUACCUGCGGAGAAUGGAAAAUUGCAGGGACUCCGGUUUUUGUUUUUUUUUCGUUCAAAACAGGGUUGGGUGGCUAGGUUGCUGUCAGGGUGACGCCCACGGCAUGCAGCAAACUAGAACUGCAACGGGCAAAGGGAAUCCGACUGUUUAAUUAAAACAAAGCAUUGCGAAGGCCG